UUAUCACCGAGUGCUUGCACUCACCGAUAAAGAGUUGAGUGGCGAACGGGUGAGUAACACGUGGGCAACCUGCCCAAAAGAGGGGGAUAACACUUGGAAACAGGUGCUAAUACCGCAUAACCAUAGUUACCGCAUGGUAACUAUGUAAAAGGUGGCUAUGCUACCGCUUUUGGAUGGGCCCGCGGCGCAUUAGCUAGUUGGUGGGGUAAAGGCUUACCAAGGCAAUGAUGCGUAGCCGAACUGAGAGGUUGAUCGGCCACAUUGGGACUGAGACACGGCCCAAACUCCUACGGGAGGCAGCAGUAGGGAAUCUUCCACAAUGGGCGAAAGCCUGAUGGAGCAACGCCGCGUGGGUGAAGAAGGUCUUCGGAUCGUAAAACCCUGUUGUUAGAGAAGAAAGUGCGUGAGAGUAACUGUUCACGUUUCGACGGUAUCUAACCAGAAAGCCACGGCUAACUACGUGCCAGCAGCCGCGGUAAUACGUAGGUGGCAAGCGUUAUCCGGAUUUAUUGGGCGUAAAGGGAACGCAGGCGGUCUUUUAAGUCUGAUGUGAAAGCCUUCGGCUUAACCGGAGUAGUGCAUUGGAAACUGGGAGACUUGAGUGCAGAAGAGGAGAGUGGAACUCCAUGUGUAGCGGUGAAAUGCGUAGAUAUAUGGAAGAACACCAGUGGCGAAAGCGGCUCUCUGGUCUGUAACUGACGCUGAGG
rnacentral:rRNA from 1 species